UAGACUGUGAUUUCGGCACACGAUGACGUCUGGCUACCGGCUUAGCUGAUGCACGUCUUGGGGAAACGGCAUUAUGUGCUUGCACAUUGCGGACGUCGACCGGCGCACGGGUGAGUAUCCCGAAUCCAACCUGCCCCUUAGUUGGGGAUACCCCGUUGAAAGACAGCGUAAUACGCGAUGUGUUUCAUUGACGGCGUCCGAGAUGAAACAGAAGGUUUUCCGGUCAUGGACGGGGAUGCGUCUGAUUGGCUAGUUGGCGGGGCAACGGCCCAGCCGAGGCGACGAUCAGUGGGGGUUCCGAGAGGAAGGUCCCCCACCUUGGAACUGAGACACGGUCCGAACUCCUACGGGAGGCAGCAGUGAGGAGUAUUGGUCAAUGGACGCAAGUCUGAACCAGCCACGUAGCGUGCAUGAUGACGGCCCGUAUGGGUUGUAAACUGCUUUUAUGUGGGAAUAAAUUGGCGCACGUGUGCGCCGUUGCAUGUACCUCCUGAAUAAUGACCGGCUACUUCCGUGCCAGCAGCCGCGGUAAUACGGACGGUCGCGGCGUUAUCCAGAUUUAUUGGGUUUAAAGGGAGUGUAGGCGGUCUGUUAAGCGUGUUGUGAAAUUUAAGUGCUCAACAUUUAACUUGCAGCGCGAACUGUCAGACUUGAGUACACGCAGCGCAGGCGGAAUUCAUGGUGUAGCGGUGAAAUGCUUAGAUAUCAUGAGGAACUCCGAUCGCGAAGGCAGCCUGCGGGAGUGUUACUGACGCUUAAGCUCGAAGGUGCGGGUAUCGAACAGGAUUAGAUACCCUGGUAGUCCGCACAGUAAACGAUGGAUGCCCGCCGUUGGCGCCCUGCGCCUGCGGCCAAGCGAAAGCAUUAAGCAUCCCACCUGGGGAGUACGCCGGCAACGGUGAAACUCAAAGGAAUUGACGGGGGCCCGCACAAGCGGAGGAACAUGUGGUUUAAUUCGAUGAUACGCGAGGAACCUUACCCGGGCUUGAAUUGCAGUCGCUGCCCACAGAGACGUGGGCUUCCCUUCGGGGCGUCUGUGAAGGUGCUGCAUGGUUGUCGUCAGCUCGUGCCGUGAGGUGUCGGCUUAAGUGCCAUAACGAGCGCAACCCCCUUUCCCAGUUGCCAUCGGGUGAUGCCGGGCACUCUGGGGACACUGCCACCGCAAGGUGCGAGGAAGGUGGGGAUGACGUCAAAUCAGCACGGCCCUUACGUCCGGGGCUACACACGUGUUACAAUGGCCGGUACAGAGGGACGGUGCAAUGCAAGUUGCAUCCAAUCUUGAAAUCCGGUCCCAGUUCGGACUGGGGUCUGCAACCCGACCCCACGAAGCUGGAUUCGCUAGUAAUCGCGCAUCAGCCAUGGCGCGGUGAGUACGUUCCCGGGCCUUGCACACACCGCCCGUC
rnacentral:rRNA from 1 species